GGCGUGGUCGCCAAGUGGUAAAGCCGAGGACUGCAAAUCUUCCAGCGUCGAUUCGAUUCCGACCCGCGCCU
rnacentral:tRNA from 1 species